AACGAACGCUGGCGGCAGGCUUAACACAUGCAAGUCGAACGCCCCGCAAGGGGAGUGGCAGACGGGUGAGUAACGCGUGGGAACAUACCCUUUUCUACGGAAUAGCUCUGGGAAACUGGAAUUAAUACCGUAUACGCCCUACGGGGGAAAGAUUUAUCGGGGAAGGAUUGGCCCGCGUUGGAUUAGCUAGUUGGUGGGGUAAAGGCCUACCAAGGCGACGAUCCAUAGCUGGUCUGAGAGGAUGAUCAGCCACAUUGGGACUGAGACACGGCCCAAACUCCUACGGGAGGCAGCAGUGGGGAAUAUUGGACAAUGGGCGCAAGCCUGAUCCAGCCAUGCCGCGUGAGUGAUGAAGGCCUUAGGGUUGUAAAGCUCUUUCACCGAUGAAGAUAAUGACGGUAGUCGGAGAAGAAGCCCCGGCUAACUUCGUGCCAGCAGCCGCGGUAAAAC
rnacentral:rRNA from 1 species